GUGAGGAAUUUUCCGCAAUGGGCGAAAGACUGACGGAGCAAUGCCGCGUGAAGGAUGAAGGCCUAUGGGUUGUAAACUUCUUUUCUCAGAAAAGAAUUAUGACGGUAUCUGAGGAAUAAGCAUCGGCUAACUCUGUGCCAGCAGCCGCGGUAAGACAGAGGAUGCAAGCGUUAUCCGGAAUGAUUGGGCGUAAAGCGUCUUUAGGUUGUUUAAAAAGUAUUCUGUCAAAGAUUAGGGCUUAACCCUAGAUAGGCAGAAUAAACUUUUAAGCUAGAGUUUGGUAGAGGCAGAGGGAAUUCCCGGUGGAGCGGUGAAAUGCGUAGAUAUCGGGAGGAACACCAAAGGCGAAGGCACUCUGCUGGGCCAAUACUAACACUGAGAGACGAAAGCGAGGGGAGCAAAUGGGAUUAGAUACCUCAGUAGUCC
rnacentral:rRNA from 1 species